rnacentral:rRNA from 1 species
UACAGAGGUCUCGAGCGUUAGGCGGAAUCACUGGGCUUAAAGCGUGUGUAGGCGGAUCGGUAAGUACCUUGUGAAAUCCCACGGCUUAACCGUGGAACUGCUUGGUAUACUGCCAGUCUUGAGCCAUCUAGGGGCUACCGGAACAAAUGGUGGAGCGGUGAAAUGCGUAGAUAUCUGGAGGAACACCGGUGGCGAAGGCGGCAUUCUGGACCGAUAUUGACGCUGAGGAGCGAAAGCCAGGGGAGCAAACGGG